GGGAGCCGGAUGAGCGGAGACGUUCACGUUCGGUUCUGCGAGAGGCUGGGGGAGAAAUUCCCCCGGCCUACUUACCCCUU
rfam:Chlorobium phaeobacteroides DSM 266, complete genome.